UAUACGGACAUCUUAUGAAGC
rnacentral:miRNA from 1 species